rnacentral:rRNA from 1 species
GAUGAACGCUGGCGGCGUGCCUAAUACAUGCAAGUCGAGCGAACAGACGAGGAGCUUGCUCCUCUGACGUUAGCGGCGGACGGGUGAGUAACACGUGGAUAACCUACCUAUAAGACUGGGAUAACUUCGGGAAACCGGAGCUAAUACCGGAUAAUAUAUUGAACCGCAUGGUUCAAUAGUGAAAGACGGUUUUGCUGUCACUUAUAGAUGGAUCCGCGCCGCAUUAGCUAGUUGGUAAGGUAACGGCUUACCAAGGCAACGAUGCGUAGCCGACCUGAGAGCGUGAUCGGCCACCCUGGAGCUGAUACUCGGUCCCGUCUCCUACACGCGGCAGCAGUAGGCAAUCUUCCGCAAUACGCGAAAGCCUGACGGAGCCACGCCGCGUGUAUGAUGACGGUCUUCGGAUCGUAACACUCUGUUAUUAGGGAAGAACAAAUGUGUAAGUAAAUAUGCACGUCUUGACGGUACCUGAUCAGGAAGCCACGGCUAACUACGUG